GAUGAACGCUAGCGGCAGGCUUAACACAUGCAAGUCGAGGGGUAACAGGGAAGCUUGCUUCCGCUGACGACCGGCGCACGGGUGCGUAACGCGUAUACAAUCUACCUUUUACAGAGAGAUACCCCAGAGAAAUUUGGAAUAAUGCCUCAUAAUAUUAUUGCUUGGCAUCGAGUGAUAAUUAAAGUUUCGGCGGUAAGAGAUGAGUAUGCGUCCUAUUAGCUAGUUGGUAAGGUAACGGCUUACCAAGGCUACGAUAGGUAGGGGUCCUGAGAGGGAGAUCCCCCACACUGGUACUGAGACACGGACCAGACUCCUACGGGAAGCAGCAGUGAGGAAUAUUGGACAAUGGGCGCAAGCCUGAUCCAGCCAUGCCGCGUGCAGGAAGACUGCCCUAUGGGUUGUAAACUGCUUUUAUACAGGAAGAAACACUCCCUCGUGAGGGAGCU
rnacentral:rRNA from 1 species